AGUCGAACGGCAGCGCGGGGCAACCUGGNGGCGAGUGGCGAACGGGUGAGUAAUAUAUCGGAACGUACCCUNGAGUGGGGGAUAACGUAGCGAAAGUUACGCUAAUACCGCAUACGAUCUANGGAUGAAAGUGGGGGAUUCGCAAGAACCUCAUGCUCGUGGAGCGGCCGAUAUCUGAUUAGCUAGUUGGUAGGGUAAAAGCCUACCAAGGCAUCGAUCAGUAGCUGGUCUGAGAGGACGACCAGCCACACUGGAACUGAGACACGGUCCAGACUCCUACGGGAGGCAGCAGUGGGGAAUUUUGGACAAUGGGCGAAAGCCUGAUCCAGCAAUGCCGCGUGAGUGAAGAAGGCCUUCGGGUUGUAAAGCUCUUUUGUCAGGGAAGAAACGGUGGACUCUAAUACAGGCCACUAAUGACGGUACCUGAAGAAUAAGCACCGGCUAACUACGUGCCAGCAGCCGCGGUAAUACGUAGGGUGCAAGCGUUAAUCGGAAUUACUGGGCGUAAAGCGUGCGCAGGCGGUUUUGUAAGUCUGACGUGAAAUCCCCGGGCUCAACCUGGGAAUUGCGUUGGAGACUGCAAGGCUAGAGUUUGGCAGAGGGGGGUAGAAUUCCACGUGUAGCAGUGAAAUGCGUAGAUAUGUGGAGGAACACCGAUGGCGAAGGCAGCCCCCUGGGUCAAGACUGACGCUCAUGCACGAAAGCGUGGGGAGCAAACAGGAUUAGAUACCCUGGUAGUCCACGCCCUAAACGAUGUCUACUAGUUGUCGGGUCUUAAUUGACUUGGUAACGCAGCUAACGCGUGAAGUAGACCGCCUGGGGA
rnacentral:rRNA from 1 species